rnacentral:rRNA from 1 species
GAUGAACGCUAGCGGCAGGCUUAAUACAUGCAAGUCGAGGGGCAACAGGGGUAGCAAUACCUGCUGGCGACCGGCAAACGGGUGCGGAACACGUACAGAACCUUCCUUUAAGCGGGGGAUAGCCCAUAGAAAUGUGGAUUAAUACCCCAUAGUAAUGUUUAAUGGCAUCAUUAGAUAUUUAAAGAUUUAUCACUUAAAGAUGGCUGUGCGGCUGAUUAGGUAGUUGGUGUGGGAACGGCCCACCAAGCCAGCGAUCAGUAACUGGUGUGAGAGCACGACCAGUCACACGGGCACUGAGACACGGGCCCGACUCCGUACGGGAGCAGCAGUAAGGAAUAUUGGUCAAUGGACGCAAGUCUGAACCAGCCAUGCCGCGUGAAGGAUGGAA